CAGCAUGUCAGGUGGCUAUGUGGAGAUGAUUGAAAUUUAGUUCAGGUGAGAGGCCUGAACUGAAGAGAUUAGAAGUAGGAGUCAUAAGUGCAGAUGGGCUCACCCACAGAUAGUAAGCAGAGUGACCAGAGAACUGGUUCAAAUAUGGGAACUCAAAGAAACAUCAACAUUAUGAGAGAGACUCAGAGAAAAUGAGUGAGUGGCUGGAGAGAGAUGAGGAAAAUCAAGAGAGAACGAACUCAUGGAAGCCAAGAAAAGACAAAUUCUCCAGACAAGAGUGCUCAGACUGCAGGGGGUUGAGCAGGUCCUGAGUACUAGUGAAACUACUGAGGUCAGCUGGUCUGAAGGACUCCACGAGAAGCCAACUCACCAAAGAAUGCAGCUUCCACAUCCUGGUGACUUCAUCCCCCUUACCCUGACCAAUCUAUGAACCCAAUUUUCCACCCCUUUGCCCUCCACAAUCCGCUUAAAAACCCCAACCCAGCACUCCUCGGGGAGAUGGAUUUGAGGAUCUCCUCUCAUCUCCUCACUCGGCUGCCCUGCAGUCAUUAUACUCUUUCUCUGCUGCAAACACUACUGUCUCAUUGUAGUCAUCUGUUACUGCACAGCAGGCAUACAAAUCUGUUGAUCCUGUAACAGAGGCAACAUGGCAAGUACUGUAUUUUUCUAUUUGAUGAUUCAAUUAGCUAGAAAAAGCAUGACUUUGGUGGAAGCCACCAAAAGUAAGAACUUUUGUGCGUUACCACCUAAGGGCAGACUUACUUGCAGGCCCUUGUCUCCAUCUAAUUGAAAUCACUACCCAACGUCUUUCCCAAACUCACACAAGGCUGCACAACCCAGAAGACAAAAAAGCAGAGCACAAGGGCACAUACCCUAAGGACUGGUAGGCACCAACCCUACACUUUUGUUUCUGCUGCCUCUCUGACUUCUCAGAAUUGCCCACUUGGCUCUAUUGUGCUUUCUUUUUCUCCACCUUAGCAACUGGCCACUCAGAAUUUGACCUCUUUUUUGAUGGCCUAUAAAGCUACUAUGUGUCAAUUACUAAGUUAAAUUCUUUAAAAUUACCUCAUUUAAUUAUCAGAAUAACUGUCUGAUGUUGAUGUUAUUACUCUUAUUUUUAUAAAUGAAGAAACCAAGGCCCAGAAGACUUGGGUACUUGCUCAAGACUGAUGGUAUCAGCCCAAUCAUUCCCAUUCUGCUAAAUUCUUAUUCUGCACCCUCUUCAAAAAAAAAAAGUUAUUGAGAUUUAAUUCACAUAUCAUAAAAUUCAUUUGAAGUAUAUAAUUCAGUAGUUUGUUUGAUUAUUUUUGAGACUGGAUCUCACUCUGUCACCCAGGCUGGAGUACGGUGGCUUGAUCACACUUCACAGUAGCCUCCACCUCCUCAGCCUCCCAAGUGGCUGGAACUACAAGUGUAAGCCACCACACCUGGUUAAUUGUUUUCAAUUAUUUGUAGAGACAGGGGUCUCAUGAUGUUGCCCAGGCUGGUCUCAACUCCUGUCCUCAAGCAAUCCUCCCUCAUCAGAUUCCCAAAGUGCUGUAAUUACAGGUGUGUGCACUGCGCCCAGCCAGUAGCUUUCACUAUAUUUACAAAGACAUGAAACCAUUUGCCCAAUCUAAGUUUAAAAUAUUUUCGUUCCCCCAAAAUGGAAAUCCUACACGUAGACCGUCACUUCUCAACCUCAUCAUGCCCUGCCCUAAACCUAGGCAACCAUUUAAUUAUUACAACAAAUCCGAGGUAAUUAGUAUCUACUUUCUGUCUCUGUAGAUUUCCUCAUCCUGGAUACUGCAUAUAAAUGCAGUCAUACAAUAUCUAGUCUUUUGUGAUGGGCUCUUUCAUGUAGCAUAGUGUAUUCACGGUUCAUCCAGACUUAUGGAGGUACUCACUCCACCAUUCGAGAAGUCAUGUCUUCCCGUCCACUCUUAUAACCAACUCUACCUUGUUGACACUUAUACCCUGAUAUGACAGAGAUCAAAUAAGAAUCCUGAUACUUAUUUGCAUACAGUGGAACUCAUUAUAAUUACUACCUUACAAAUUAAUCCUGUCUCACCAGGUUAUUACUAUAUAGAGUCUAAUAAUGAAUGUUACUGUCCCCCAAAAUAUAUCCAAAUCCACCUGGCCAAUGGAAGUCUGUUCUUUGAAGUAAUCACUAAUAUUUCCUCCACCACUGGUGAUUAUUUGCUUCAGAAUUCGGCUUUUCCCAUUUUCAAGUUAUCUCCAAAGGCUAUCAAACCCAAUAAUCUUUGUAUUUCCCUAACCGAAAAAGGAAAUUUUUUAAUGCCUCCAAUUUUCAAAUAAGAUGAAGUGAUAUAGUAAUGCAAGUUACUUUUUUUCUUCAUAGCAAUGAAAUUGUUCCCACUUCAACAAAUCAAGCCACAAGUUUGCGUGUGUGAGUGUGCACGCAUGUGUGUGUGUGUGUGCACGUGUGUGUGUAUGUCUGACACUGCGUGGGUAUGUCUGGGAAUGCUAACAACCAAGUUAGAGAAUCUCAUUACAUAGAGUUUUCUGGCUACAUUUUGUGCUUUAAAAUUAGGUCUCUGCUUGAAAUCCCAGCCCUUCCUUGGCUCUUUUCAGUUCUAAGGUCUCUUCUGAUUAGUGAAGUGUUGACAUAUUGCUGUUCACUUGGGAGACUCCGGGUUCUUCCCUAAGAGUAAUAAAAUUCAAGCAGAGUGCUUUUGCCAAGAUAAAAGUUCAAAGUAACCUAGGAGGAUAUGUGCAACUGUGAACAUGUGAAGAACACUGGGGGCUAAAUGUUGAAAGGGCCUUUCCAGUCUUUUUGUACUGCUUUCUCUUUCCUGUGUUUGCAGUUGUCAAAUUGUCCAAUCAGGUCAGAUGAUGAACAAAUUGAUCCUCAAUGUAAAGAUGCAGGUUCCACACUCAAGCUCUCUGUCCCAGUCUACAGAAAACAGAAAGGGCACUUUCGACAUUGAGUUCUGAGUACAUGCAUUUUUUUUAAUUCAGAUAAGUGAAGACCAAACAUAAACAUAUCACUUCCUUGCUCUUUUUAUUCCAUAAAUGUACCAUAAUUCCAAUCAAAAGCACAAUAGAUUUUACUUUGGGAGUCGACAAAAUAAUUCUAAAGGUCAUAUGGGCAAUAAACAGGACAGAGUAGCUAAAAUUUUUAAAGUAUGAUUAUUCAGGAAGAACAUGCACAAUCAGAUAUUAUUGUAACUUUAUAAUAUGUAUAAUAAAAAAAUACUGGUGCCAGGAUAGCUCACAGCAAGAGAAUAACAAGUCCAGAAAGAGAUACAGAUUUACAUGAGAGUUCAAUAUACAAUAUACAUGCCAUUUUAGUAUGGCAGGGGAAUGGAUAAGUUAUUCAAUAAACACUGGACUAAGUGGCACAAAAUUUGAAAACAAAAAAAACUUAGACCCCUCUCUCACAAUAUUUGUCAACUAAAUUUCAUAUAAAGUAGAAAGGUAGGCCGGGCAUGGUGGCUCAUACCCGUAAUACCAGCACUUUGAGAGGCUGAGGUGGGAGGAUCACUUGAAGCCAGGAGUUCGACACCAGCCCGGGCAACAAAGUAAGACCCUUUCUCUACAAAAUAUUUAUUUUAACUUAAUUGGAUGUGGUGGCAUCUAAGGUGAGAAGAUUGCUUGAACCCAUGAGCCCAAGAGUUUGAGGCUACAGUGAGCUAUGAUCACCCCACUGUAGUCCAGCCUGAGCAACAGAAUGAGACCCUGUCUCUAAUUUAAAAAAAAACACAAAGUAAAAUUAAAACAAAAAUAAAAAUAAAAAAGUAGGAGGUAAAAAUUUUCCAAUAAAAAGAUUUUUCAAAAAGAAACUAUGGGUGACUAUCUGAUCAGGGGGAAGGGGAAUCCUUUAUUCUAAGAACAAAAGUAAAAAAGCAACCGUAAUGAAAAGUUAUAGAUUUGACUACAUCAAAAUGUGUAUUAAAAUGCCAUGAAUAAAAAAUAAAGGAUAAUAACAGAAAAAUGCAACAUAAAGGACAAAUAGCAAUAUAUCUUUACUAUAUAAAGACUUUCAAAAAUCAAUAAUAAAAAGCACACCAAUAGAAAAUUUAGAAAUAAUGCACAUAAGAAAUUCAUAAAAGAUCUGAAUGAUGGAUAGACAUAAGUAAAGAUGAUAAACUUCACUAGUGGUCAAAUAAAUUAGAACAAAUGAGAUACCAGUUUUAUCUAUAAAAUGUGCAAAGAUGUGGAGAAACAAGCAGCCCCCUUUUAACAUUUAGAACAAAUGGAAGCAAAAUGGAAUAUUUCUAGAGGACAAUUUAGGAAAGUCCAUUAAAAGUUUUAAAAAAUAUACAGUCCCCUUGUUCUAGAAAUACCACUUCUAAGAAUUUAUCCAAUGGAAAAUUAGUAAGAGGUACUCAAAUAUUUACGUAAGGGCACGAUUAUCACAGCAUUACAUAUAAUUGCAAAAAAAGUGGUGGGAAAGGAAUGUCUAACAGUACAAGUGGGGUAAAUAGCUUGCACGUAAGUUUAAUAAAAUACUGUACAAGUAUUAAAAUUAUUUUGUAAAGGAGGCCGGGUGCAGUGGCUCGCGCCUGUAAUCCCAGCAUUUUGGGAGGCCGAGGCAGAAGAAUCGCUUGAGCUCAGGAGUUCAAGACCAGCCUGGGCAACAUGGCAAAAUUCCAUCUCUACAAAAAAUGCAAAAAAGUAUCUGGAUGCGGUGGUGCCCCUGUGGUCCCAGCUGCUUGGGGGGCUGAGGUGAGAGGAUUGCUUGAGCCUGGGAGGCAAAGGUUGCAGUGAGCCAAGACUGCACCACUGCACUGCAGGCUGGGUGACAGAGUGAGACCCUGUCUCCAAAAAAAGAAAGAAAAAAAUUAUUUUGUAAAAGAAUAACUAACAAAUAACCUGUAAAAGUGGUCACCACAUAAUGUAAUUAUGUUAUAAAAAAGCCAGUUAGAAAACACAGUAUUUAAUAUAAUCCUAAUUUUGUAAAAUGCAUACAUAUGUGGGGGUGUGUACAGAUGUAUGUGUAUGGAUGUAUGUAGAAAAGAUUAGGAAAAAAAAAACCUCCAAAAUGUUAACCAUAUUAUCUCUGAGUAUCAAGAUUAUUGGUAAUUUUAAUUUUCUUCGUUGUACUUUUCUGUACUUUCCACAUUUUAAAAAUGAACAUGUGCUA
rnacentral:lncRNA from 1 species